UACGUAGGUGGCAAGCGUUGUCCGGAUUUACUGGGCGUAAAGAGCGCGCAGGCGGUCGAUUUAGUCGCGUGUGAAAGCCCCCGGCUCAACUGGGGAGGGUCACGCGAUACUGAUCGACUCGAAGGCAGGAGAGGGUAGUGGAAUUCCCGGUGUAGUGGUGAAAUGCGUAGAUGUCGGGAGGAACACCAGUGGCGAAGGCGACUACCUGGCCUGUUUCUUGACGCUGAGGCGCGAAAGCUAGGGGAGCAAACGGG
rnacentral:rRNA from 1 species